rnacentral:lncRNA from 1 species
CAGCAAAUCUCUUGUCAAUGACUGGGGCCCAGCAAAUCCUUGUCAAAUUGACUGGAGCCAGCAUCUCUUGUGUCAAAUUGACUGGAGCCAGCAAAUCUCAUUGUCAAAUUGACUGGAGCCAGCAAAUCUCGUUGUCAAAUUGACUAUGGCCAGCAAAUCUCUUGUCAAAUUGACUGGAGCCAGCAAUCUCUUUUGUCAAAUUGACUGGGCCAGCAAUCUCUUGUAAUGAAGGCAGCCAGCAAAUCUCUUGUCAAAUUGACUGGAGCCAGCAAAUCUCUGUCAAAUUGAAUGGGCCAGAAAUCCUUGUCAAAUUGACUGAGGCCAGCA